ensembl:lncRNA
UUUUUCCUCCUCGACCGCACGCUGAGAAUCUGUGUCUGAAAGCACGCUGCGACACAGGAAGCGCCGAUCCAGAGCAAAUCAACGAAAUAGCCUUUUCCUGCUUUUACGGCAUGAAAAUCAGAAACCACUUGUAGAAAAUAUGGACGGCUAUGAAGCUAUAAAACAAGUGACCGCCUCAACGUCAUGGUUCCUCUUCAUGUGUCACACGCGUGGUUAUUCACGUGGCUCCGCCUUCUGGAAAGAGAACUGUAUUUUAUGUAGUUCUCAUGUGGGGGGCCGUGGGGGGUCGGGGGUCGUCGUCGGUGUUUAUCUCAUGUCCCAACAACAACCAGGUUGCGUUUCAUUCAAAAGCUUUUUCCCGGCAGCCUUUCCCGUGAUACGAAGCCUAAAUCCCCCCCUGUGACAUUUCAGUUUGAAACGCGCCGGAGCGCCGCGCCCACAGCUGAGGAGAUGCUCUUUGAUUAAAACGCCGCCGCCGCCGCGGCAUUCUGGGAGACGAGCCCGAAGACAAUGCUGCCAAACUGAGUGAUAAAAGGCGAGGUCGUGUUUAAUGCACUUUUGCACCUCUUGCACGCCUGUGACUUCCAAACAGACAAUUCAGUAACGAGUUCAUGCCGAGCGUCCCGUCUUUGAGGGGGGGGGGGGGUCAGGAUUGCGUUGAUACUCUUAUCGGUUCUUUUUCCCACUCCCUCCGGCCCUCUGGGGCCCAUUGCGAAGCCGUAACGUGCAGACGGCGGCCAUUGAUUCGAUCACGAGCGUGCGGCCGAUACGUGAAAGGUUAUUAACCGAGCAAAAAUAUGCAGCCGCGUAAUGAUUCUCUCUUUCUAAUUCGUGUGAAACACACAUCUUUUCCAUAUUGGGACACGAGGGAGGUCUGUGGUCUCCUCACACUUCACCCCCCUGCAGGGUCCCCCUGCGAGCCCCCGACCCCCCCACAGCACGCCAUUAUGGAUUAAACCCUCGGCUCAGCUGAAAGGCCCAACCGAGCCGCUCGCGCUCAGCUGGUGGCUUCUUCCUGACGCUGUCCUCUCCCUGAAAGACACUGACAACCAGUCACGGUAUCUAUUGUGUGUUGUGUAUUGCGUCAACAUUAUUUGUGAUAAAACAAUAUUAUUACAAUUUUCAGACCAUUUUAUUCCACUGAGAAUAAUACUAAUGACAUAAUGACAAUAUGUGAGCGUCGUAUAACAGAACUCUCCUUCCAAAGAACCAAAGAACGUUGUAUUCGUCAGAAUAUUUAGACAUUAGAAUCGGAGCAAAGACUGACAUGAAUACGGAUUGUAGUGUGAGAGGGACACUGAAUGUGUGUGUGUGUGUGUGUGUUCAAAAGGAGGGAUUCCGGUUGCAUGUUUGGAUUAACUAAUGGAUAAACUAAUAAAUCAAAAGUGAAGCCGAUGUGAAAGUGUCUAAAAGCUGCAUUCUGUGUAGUGACCAGCAGGGGGCGACUCCUCAGGUCCCAUAGACGUCUAUGAGGAAAUGACUCUACUUCUCUGUAGUGACCAGCAGGGGGCGACUCCUCUGCUCCCAUAGACGUCUAUGAGGAAACUACUUCUGUCUUGAUUUAUUUCCAAUAAACAUUGUAAACAUGAGUUUAUGGUCUAAAUCUCUAGUUCCAAUUCUUCUUCUAUACAGCAUAACGUUUAUUUAGUAAAUGAUGGUCCAUUUAGAGUCAAACAGACCAUCAAGCAGGGGAUGCUUUAGGGCGGGGCUUACUGUGAUUGACACGUCUCUAAUUGACCAUCAAGCAGGGGAUGCUUUAGGGCGGGGCUUACUGUGAUUGACACGUCUCUAAUAGACCAUCAAGCAGGGGAUGCUUUAGGGCGGGGCUACACGCUGAUUGACAGGUCUCUAUUAGACCAUAAAGCAGGGGAUGCUUUAGGGCGGGGCUUACUGUGAUUGACUUUGGUAUUUUGAACCAAUCACGGGAAUGUAGACGAAAGGUCAGGUGAGAUAUUUCGAUAAAACCAAAAAUGUCCUACUGGAUUUCUCAAGUGUUUGACGUGAGAGCGAUUGAUUACGAGCAAGAUUAUAAUCAAAAGUCUCAAUUGACUGUAAUGCGUUUAGUCUUUGUUUUGAUUGUUGACACUUUGUCUUUUAUCAUCUCACUCAAUAAUUCUCCUCGUGUCUCAGUCAUCAAAGAAGAUUCCAGCACUUUCUUUGGAGGUCAGACGCCCGUGAUUAUGCAAAGAUGCAGAAACGCAAGCUGUGAAUAAUGCAUACGCCUCUCGUGAAGGAUGGGGUCACAGUAACGGCGUGAGCGCUAUUGAUAUGAGUGGACCAAUCGCACGCAGGUGGGAAAGAGGUUAUCAGGUUUGAUCCUUUAAGUAAUAUGUUUAGGCAUCGACAGACUCCUCGUGGAAAUGGGAGCGCCUUGACCUUUCUGGGUGCAUCUGAUUAGUGUCUGCUUCACUUUAUCUCACUAAGUGUGUCUGUUGGGGGGGUGGAGGUUGUAACCAGAGGGGAAGCCGUGUGGUUCCAUACGUUCAGGGGGAGAUCCAGAUUUUAAUGCAUUGCUGCUUUACACAAUGAUUGAUUGCGGCAUCAUCAAAGGCAGCUGGAAUGCAGCAAUAACAAAAUAAUCAAAAUGUUAUUUGUGGAAAUUGGUCCCAUAUUGAAGGAGCACAGGCUGCGACGUAUUCAUCAGGUUGUUAUUUAAAGUGUGUGACAACAAUGUGGAGAGAAUCCGACAGAGAAAUGAAAUGUUUUUCCUCACAUUCCAUCACUGUCUGCUGUCAUGUGACUUGACGUGAACGGGUUAGAGAGCCGGUGUUUGUCAGUUUGGGGCUCGACCAAUGAGAGGAUUUAGCGCG